UCUGGAUCAAUGAUGUUGUCAUAAACUGUGUUAUUUAUCUGCAAUUUCAUAAAUGGAUUGAAGAUGACAGUAAGUUACUGAGAUCCUGG